AUGUUGCUCUGCAGCCUGCUGAAGGUGGUCACAGCUUCAAUGUGGCUAGGAUCUGGUAUUGCCCAGAAGGUAACUCAAGUCCCACCGGCAAUGUUGGUGCAGGAGAGGGAGGCUGUGACUCUGGGAUGCACGUAUGACAUCAGUGAUUAUAGUUAUCAUCUCUUCUGGUACAAGAAGUCCACCAACGGGGAGAUGAUUUUCAUUAUUCGCCAGGACUCCUUUAGUCAGAAAAAUGAAACAGAAGGUCGCUACUCACUGAAUUUCCAAAAGGCCAGCAAAGCCAUCAACCUUAUUAUCUCAGCUUCAGAAUUCAAGGACUCAGCGAUAUAUUUCUGCGCACUGAGGAGCGCACAGUGA